AUUGAACGCUGGCGGCAGGCCUAACACAUGCAAGUCGAACGGUAACAGGAAGAAGCUUGCUUCUUUGCUGACGAGUGGCGGACGGGUGAGUAAUGUCUGGGAAACUGCCUGAUGGAGGGGGAUAACUACUGGAAACGGUAGCUAAUACCGCAUAACGUCGCAAGACCAAAAAGGGGGACCUUCGGGCCUCUUGCCAUCGGAUGUGCCCAGAUGGGAUUAGCUAGUAGGUGGGGUAACGGCUCACCUAGGCGACGAUCCCUAGCUGGUCUGAGAGGAUGACCAGCCGCACUGGAACUGAGACACGGUCCAGACUCCUACGGGAGGCAGCAGUGGGGAAUAUUGCACAAUGGGCGCAAGCCUGAUGCAGCCAUGCCGCGUGUAUGAAGAAGGCCUUCGGGUUGUAAAGUACUUUCAGCGGGGAGGAAGGGAGUAAAGUUAAUACCUUUGCUCAUUGACGUUACCCGCAGAAGAAGCACCGGCUAACUCCGUG
rnacentral:rRNA from 1 species